UUUGACGUAGCGUUUGAGCGCGAAUCGUGAGCCAAUCGCAGGCUGCAGAGGGCGGAGCCUAAGCGCUUCAUUUAAUGUAUAGUCGCGGUUCGUUUUUCUUGCGAUUUCAUCGGCUAGUGUGUUGUGCAGUUCGCCAUGUCGAAAGAGGGCCAGCCACGAGAACCGGAGCAGCUCCGGAAGUUGUUCAUUGGGGGCCUCAGCUUCGAGACAACAGACGACAGCCUGCGCUCUUAUUUUGAGCAAUGGGGCACGUUAACCGACUGUGUGGUUAUGAGAGACCCGAACUCCAAGCGCUCCAGAGGCUUCGGUUUUGUCACAUACUCCUGUGUGGACGAAGUCGAUGCCGCCAUGCAGGCACGUCCUCACAAAGUCGAUGGUCGUCUUGUAGAGCCCAAACGUGCUGUGUCUAGAGAGGAUUCCAACAAACCUUUUGCACACACCACAGUGAAAAAGAUCUUUGUGGGUGGCAUUAAGGAGGAUACAGAAGAGAGCCACCUACGAGACUACUUCCAGGAAUUUGGAAAGAUCGAAGCAAUUGAAAUAAUGAUCGAUCAUAAGACUGGCAACAAAAGAGGCUUUGCGUUUGUUACGUUCGAUGAUCAUGAUGCUGUGGAUCGUAUCGUUAUUCAAAAGUACCACACAAUAAAUGGUCAUAAUUCAGAAGUGAGAAAGGCAGUGUCUAAACAAGAGAUGCAGAAUUCAUCAAUGAACAUGAGAGGACGUGGAGGUGGAAACUUCGGUGGACGAUAUGGCAACAAUGACUUUGGAGGAGGCAGAGAUGGAUUCAGAGACGGAUUCCGAGGAGGCAGAGGUGGUGGAUAUGGAGGUGGAGAUGGCUACAACAAUGGCUUUGGAGGCGAUGGUGGCUAUGGCGGUGGUGGCUCUGGCUAUGGGGGCAACCGCGGUGGAGGAUAUAGCGGAGGUGGACAAGGCUAUGGAAAUGGCGGUGGAGGAUAUGGUGGUGGAGGAUACAGUAGCGGUGGCAAUGGUUAUGACAACUAUAACAACGGCAACGGAAACUUUGGUGGUAACUUCGGAGGUGGAGGCGGCGGCGGUGGUGGUAGCAGCAACUACAGUGACUUCGGAAACUACAACAACCAGCAGUCAAGUUUUGGCCCCAUGAAAGGAAACUUUGGAGGAGGCGGCAGGAAUAGCGGCCCAUAUGGUGGUGGAUAUGGGGGUAGCUCAGGUGGAGGUGGAGGCUAUGGCGGAGGUUCUGGUGGAGGAUAUGGUGGAAACUCUGGCGGUAGACGAUAUUAAGUCCUUUAAAGAACAAGUGUUGGCCACCUGCUGGUUAGAUUGGCUAAAACAAAGCAGGUUAGCUUGUAUGACUGCCAAGACUAGCCAUGGAAGCAAGAUGAGAGAGGAGUAGGAAGACCAUCACCAUGAGAAGAAUCAGGGAGCGUUUGAGUACAGGUCGUCUCUGAAAGACUAGGAGAGAGCAACAGAUUGGCUUUAUUGCCUCCAGUAGGAAUGUGUGUGGGAUUUAUGAUCCAGAGUGGGGAUAUUUGCCUGUUUUUUCUGCAGGCAGUGUAAAGGACCAAAGACCUGUUGGGGUAGGGGGGGGACUUUUUAAGAGAUGUUUUUACUGCUUAAAAUAAAGCUUUUAUUGUUUUGUAAA